GUGAAUUGCAGAAUUCAGUGAAUCAUCGAAUCUUUGAACGCACAUUGCGCCCCUUGGUAUUCCAUGGGGCAUGCCUGUUCGAGCGUC
rnacentral:rRNA from 1 species